rnacentral:rRNA from 1 species
AAAACGGAGAGUUUGAUCCUGGCUCAGGAUGAACGCUGGCGGUAUGCUUAACACAUGCAAGUCGAACGGUGUCUUCGGACAUAGUGGCGGACGGGUGAGUAACGCGUGAGAAUCUAGCUUCAGGUCGGGGACAACCACGGGAAACUGUGGCUAAUACCGGAUAUGCCGAGAGGUGAAAGGCUUGCUGCCUGAAGAUGAGCUCGCGUCUGAUUAGCUAGUAGGUGUGGUAAAAGCGCACCUAGGCGACGAUCAGUAGCUGGUCUGAGAGGAUGAUCAGCCACACUGGGACUGAGACACGGCCCAGACUCCUACGGGAGGCAGCAGUGGGGAAUUUUCCGCAAUGGGCGAAAGCCUGACGGAGCAAUACCGCGUGAGGGAGGAAGGCUCUUGGGUUGUAAACCUCUUUUCUCAGGGAAGAAAAAAAUGACGGUACCUGAGGAAUAAGCAUCGGCUAACUCCGUGCCAGCAGCCGCGGUAAUACGGAGGAUGCAAGCGUUAUCCGGAAUGAUUGGGCGUAAAGGGUCCGCAGGUGGCUAUGUAAGUCUGCUGUUAAAGAACCUAGCUUAACUAGGUAAAAGCAGUGGAAACUACAAGGCUAGAGUGCGUUCGGGGUAGAGGGAAUUCCUGGUGUAGCGGUGAAAUGCGUAGAUAUCAGGAAGAACACCAGUGGCGAAGGCGCUCUACUAGGCCGCAACUGACACUGAGGGACGAAAGCUAGGGGAGCGAAUGGGAUUAGAUACCCCAGUAGUCCUAGCCGUAAACGAUGGAUACUAGGCGUGGCUUGUAUCGACCCAAGCCGUGCCGGAGCUAACGCGUUAAGUAUCCCGCCUGGGGAGUACGCACGCAAGUGUGAAACUCAAAGGAAUUGACGGGGGCCCGCACAAGCGGUGGAGUAUGUGGUUUAAUUCGAUGCAACGCGAAGAACCUUACCAAGACUUGACAUGUCGCGAAUCUCUCUGAAAGGAGAGAGUGCCUUCGGGAGCGCGAACACAGGUGGUGCAUGGCUGUCGUCAGCUCGUGUCGUGAGAUGUUGGGUUAAGUCCCGCAACGAGCGCAACCCUCGUUUUUAGUUGCCAGCAUUAAGUUGGGCACUCUAGAGAGACUGCCGGUGACAAACCGGAGGAAGGUGGGGAUGACGUCAAGUCAGCAUGCCCCUUACGUCUUGGGCUACACACGUACUACAAUGCUACGGACAAAGGGCAGCUACACAGCAAUGUGAUGCAAAUCUCACAAAACCGUAGCUCAGUUCAGAUCGCAGGCUGCAACUCGCCUGCGUGAAGUCGGAAUCGCUAGUAAUUGCAGGUCAGCAUACUGCAGUGAAUUCGUUCCCGGGCCUUGUACACACCGCCCGUCACACCAUGGAAGCUGGUCACGCCCGAAGUCGUUACCCCAACUGUUCGCAGAGGGGGAUGCCGAAGCAGGACUGGUGACUGGGGUGAAGUCGUAACAAGGUAGCCGUACCGGAAGUGUGGCUGGAUCACCUCCUUUUAUGGAGACCGAAUCCACUCAAACAUCGAAAGCAAAUCGCAAUUAGAUACUGAGUGGUCAUUCCUAGGUCGGUCG